CCUACGGGGGGCAGCAGUGGGGAAUAUUGGACAAUGGGGGGAACCCUGAUCCAGCCAUGCCGCGUGUGUGAAGAAGGCCCUCGGGUUGUAAAGCACUUUCAGUGAGGAAGAACGCCUGGUGGUUAAUACCCAUCAGGAAAGACAUCACUCACAGAAGAAGCACCGGCUAACUCCGUGCCAGCAGCCGCGGUAAUACGGAGGGUGCGAGCGUUAAUCGGAAUUACUGGGCGUAAAGCGCGCGUAGGUGGCUUGAUAAGCCGGUUGUGAAAGCCCCGGGCUCAACCUGGGAACGGCAUCCGGAACUGUCAAGCUAGAGUGCAGGAGAGGAAGGUAGAAUUCCCGGUGUAGCGGUGAAAUGCGUAGAGAUCGGGAGGAAUACCAGUGGCGAAGGCGGCCUUCUGGACUGACACUGACACUGAGGUGCGAAAGCGUGGGUAGCGAACAGGAUUAGAUACCCUUGUAGUC
rnacentral:rRNA from 1 species